GACACGGCCGAGAAAGGGCCCAGCCCCGCGCGGACCACAGACUGGCAGGCCGGCCAGACAGACGGACAGGCUGACCCCGGCCCGGGGGAGCAGGCGCAGCGGCUGCGCAGGUAAUGUGAAAUGGUGAGACAUGAUUCCUCAGAGCUCUGUUAUCCCACAAGUCUGUGUCUACCAGCCGCACAAGGAAAAUCUUUCACGAGGUUCCUCUCAGUUCCUGUGGCAGACAGACUCUUGGGGAAGUUGCUCACCAUCCCACCUGCUGAUGUCAUGGCUUUCUGUAAUUCCUUCUGUUUGAGUGGUGGGGGUGGGUGGCUGCAGUGGUGCUGUGACUUGCUUCUCACUGGUAGAAUGCAGCAAAGGUGAUGAGAUAGGUGGGAUAGAUGGUGCCAUGUCAGCGAUGACAUGGGUAUAUUAUGUGACAGUGUGGGGCCGGGCACGGUGGCUCAAGCAUGUAAUCCCAGCACUUUGGGGGGCCAAGGUGGGCGGAUCAGGAGGUCAGGAGAUUGAGAACAACCUAGCUAACACGGUGAAACCCUGUCUCUACUAAAAAAUACAAAAAAUUAGCCAGGCGUGAUGGCAGGCGCCUGUAGUCCCAGCUACUUGGGAGGCUGAGGCAGGAGAAUGGCGAGAACCCGGGAGGUGGAGCUUGCAGUGAGCCGAGAUGGCGCCACUGCACUCCAGCCUGGGGGACAGAGUGAGACUCCGUCUCGAAAAAAAAAAAAAAAGAAAGCGUGGCACUUGUCUUGCUGAGUCUCCCUAUGCCUCUCCAUUGGUUUUGAAGAAGCAAGCUGGCAUGUGGCAGCCUGCGGAUGUUGGGAGGCCACACGGCAAGGAACUGCAGCAUCUCUAGGAGCUGAGGGUGGACCCUGACUGGCAGCCAACAACAAACUGAAGCUCUCAAGCCUACCACCAUAAGGAAUUGAAUUCUGCCAAUAACCUGAGUGAGCAUGGAAGCAGAUCCUUUCCCAGCCAAGCCUCAGACAAGGUUCUGGCCCUGGGAAACACCUUGACUGAAGUCUUGUGAGACCAUAGGAAGAAGACUUAGCUGAGCCAGUCUCAGAUCCUGACCCAUAGAACCUGUUAGAUACUUAGCAUGUGUUGUUUUCAGCCUCUGUGUUUGUGGUAAUUUAUUAUACAAUACAUACUGUUCCCCACCCUAAUACUUGAAACUCCUGACCCCAAUCCCUGUGCUCUAUUUACAACUCCAUGCCACCACUGGGGGAAUAAUCCCAUAAUAGUAUCUGUGUGUGGGUAGCUUUACCUGUCUGUAUCUACACAUAGAUCUUGUGACAGUAAAUUUUAUCUAUCAACUUGACUGGGCUAAAGGAUGCCCUUAUAGUUAAUUAAACAUUAUUUCUGGAUAUGUCUGACUAGCAGAGAUUAGCAUUUGGAUUGGUGGACUGAGUGAAGCAGAUGGCCCUCAAUGUCAUCCAAUCCUUGAGGGCCUGAAUAGAGCAAAAAAGGCAGAUGAAGGUUGAUUUUGCUCUUUGCCUGACUGCUUGAGUUGGGACAUUGAUCUCUUGCGCUUGGUGCUUUGGUUCUUAGGCCUUCAGACCUGAGCUGAAAUCUACACCACCGGCUCUCUGACUAUCAGGCUUUGGACUAUACUUUGGGCUUUCCUGGGUCUCUUACCUGGCAGACAGCAGAUUUUGGAACUUUUCAGCCUCCAUAAUCAUGUGAGCAAAAACCUUAUAACAAAUUAUCUAUCUAUCUAUCUAUCUAUCUAUCUAUCUAUCUAUCUAUCUACCUAUCAUCUAUCUAUCAUCUAUCUAUCUAUCUAUCUAUCUAUCUCUCUAUCUAUCUAUCUAUCUAUCAUCUUCUGUUGGUUCCGUUCUCUGGAGAACCCUGACUAAUACAAUUCAUAUUCAAUCACAGGCCUUUAGGAAGUACUUAAUAUGUGCUGAGCACAUACAGAGAUAGGUAAGUCCAGGGUAUCUCUGAGGUGCUCACAGUCUGAAGAGGAAAACAGCCCCAUGAUGCUUGAGCUGUGGAAGGCUCACCUGCAAGGGUGAGCUAGCUGAGGAAAUCAAUGUGUGUCCUGCACUGUAGAAAUCAGUUUGUUUCCCCAGGGUUAUUGCAUUAGAUUCUUAUAAACCUCUAAGGUAGAUGCCUUUUACAGAGAAGGGAGCUGAGCUCUAGAGAGGUUAAGGAACUUGCCUUAGAGGCAAGUCCACUUAGUGUGGGUCAGAUCCAGGAUUCUAACCCAGUUCUUCUGAUUUCAACUUAGUUGGAUAAUUAAAAUUGACUAUAUAUUUCCUUUGUGUUAACAGAUUCUACUGGAACUUCUAGCAGGCAAACUCACCUAGUGCUCUCUGGAAGGUGAUGUGGGUGGAACUCUGUCUGAUUCCAAUGUCUAGAUGCCAAUGAGCUCUCCACCAUCACCCCAGAGACAGGGGAAAGAAGAUAUAAGUAGACCUGGGCCUGUCUUCAUUCACUCUCAGUGAGCACACGGCAGGCAUUCAAGAAAUAUAGAGGCUGAAUUACAUUUUUUUUGAGGGUCUAAACUUUGCCCUCUGUGACUAGGUGUCAUUUGAUAUGGCAAUGAGAAUACAGAGCAGAGAUACUCAAACUCAGGAACCAAAAGAAUCAUCUGAAGAUAACUGUUAAAAUGCAGAUUCUAGGGUCCUCCCUCCAGAGAUUCCGAUUCAGUGGGGCCCAGGAGACAUUUUCAAUUAUACCCUCAGAUUAUUCUGACACAAGUCAAUCACAGAGCACAUGGCUACUUGUGACAAAAUCACAGCCAAGCUAGGUUGAGAUAGUUUGCCUAGACUCUGAUGUGGGUUGUUCCCAAACAUCCCCACUAAUGUUUAUAAUUCCUUUUCCUUAUGGGAGGGAGAGGCCAGUGAUGUGUUGGCAAAUGUUUAAUAACUGGAUCUCUGGUGGAAAAGAAAAAAAAUCCCUGAUUUGCAGCAUUUGCCAAUACCCAUGGUGUAAAUACUCUCACCGUGGCUGAUAGCAAGCUACCAACAGUAGCUUGUUAAGACUGAAUUGGGAAGAGAUGCACAUCAUUGGCCUUUGCAGGUCAGUAGGAGUCAGCUCCAGCAAUCAUUGGAGGGAGGCUGAAUAGGAGAGGAGAGGACUUACCUCCCUGGGCCUCAGUUUUCCCACUUAUAAAAUGAGAAUUCAUGAAGGUUCUGAUCUGUGACUCGAGACUAAUUUUAGGCCUUAGCUCAGGGGCCAUGUGGCCAAAGGAGGUGGUCAGGUUGCCAGGGCACUCAGGGAUGAGGAGGCAGAGUGGGUCAGCUCUGCUUCCUCCUCCCUUCUUGGAGAGGGUGGAGGAGCCCACAACCGGGUGAACAGAGGAGGGGCCUUGGAGUUGGUCCUGCCUCAAAUCUUGAACCAGAUGCUUACUAAAUUUCUGAGAGCCUGUUUCCCUAUCUAUAAACUGGGAAAAUACUACUGUACCUACCCCAUAGAGUGGUUACAAGAAUUAAAUGAGACAAAGUCUGGCAUGUGGUAAGGUUUCUGUAAACAUUAAUCUUUCUUCUUGUGACCAUUUCUUCCCCUGCCCAUGACAUUUAUUUCCCAAAUUCUGCCAGAGCCUGGUUAGACCAGUGGGCCAAUUUCAUUCAUAAGCAGAGUAGUAGGUCACCCAUCACUGUGCAAUUUGAGGUAAAGGUCCUUCAGGCAAAAAAUUAUAUGUGUAUACACACACACACACACACAGAUAUGUGUACAUAUAUUCUCCCACUGGUCUGUCAUAGACUCUGAACUUCCACUAUUUAAAUCUUUAUCAAUGCUCCAUAGCAAAAGACCACCAGGAACACACCCGUAGUCAAAGUUGGUAUUACUACAUGCUGCACAAAGGACAUAACACACCUUGGAGACCAUGGGGCAGCUCAGAAAGAGAGUACCAGGAGAGUUUUUCUCUGGGCCAGGUGCUGUCAGGGAGCAGUGGCAAUUCAGUGAUUAGGCAUUUUAAUUAUUUUUAUCUAAGAGGGGGACGAAUGGAAUGUGGCUAAGGCUGUCAUUGGUAAAGAAAUCACCACACUCAUGUUGACCAGGAGAGGGGGCUGUUUGGUAGUUUUAACGAUUUUGCAGUGUUCUUUUUUUUUCGGUUGUUGUUGUUGUUGUUGUUUUGUUUUGUUUUGAGAUGGAGUCUCGCUCUGUCGCCCAGGGUGGAGUGCAGUGGCACAAUCUUAGCUCACUGCAAUCUCUGCCUCCUGGGUUCAAGUGAUUCUCCUGCCUCAGCCUCCCAAAUAACUGGGAUUAUAGGCAUCCACCACCACACCCGGCUAAUUUUUGUAUUUUUAGUAGAGAUGGGGUUUCACCAUGUUGGCCAGGCUGUUCUUGAACUCCUGACCUCAAGUGAUCCCCCUACUUCGGCUUCCCAAAGUGCUGGGAUUACAUACGUGAGCCACCACGCCUGGCCAGGUUUUUCUCUGUAUUCAGACAUGGUGUGGAGUGAUCUUUUUUUGGUCUUGCUGCCUGUCUUAUGAUUAUAGAGGCUUUGCCUGGUGUCAGUGUUCUGGGAACAUGCUUAUGUUCAGCAGGAGAAUGCCAGGGCCUUGCUGUGAGUGCCAAGCCAGGACACUGCUGAUGCUGAUGGGGCUGCUGUUUUCUUUCUUGUCUUAUUCAUUUGCAAAACCUUUACUGAUGACUUUUACCACAGUCACACAUAUUAUCUCAUUUAAACCUCACAGCAACUCUGUGAGGGAUUGUUAUCUCCAUUUUAUGGAUGAGGAAGCUGACUCUGAGAGAUGACUUUCCAAAUUCAUCCAACUGGAAGAAAAAGGAAGUCUCUGGGGACUUGAAUCCAGAACUGUCCAGCUCCAAGUCCAGGGCUCACUCUAUUAAGCCACUCCAUGAGGAAUGAGUCCCUAAGGAGGCCACAGAAGGCCCUAAGCCCUCUUUUGUUCUCUGGAAGAGAGUGCCAUUUCUUGGCCCUUCCCAAGGCCUUGACAACUGAAGGUGAGUGUGGGCCCGCCGGCCAGGCACACUGGCUACACAAGGCUGACUUUCCACUGGCACUGUGGUUUGGCAUAGGUGAGAAGGCGGGCAGUAACUCAUGUGACCUGUACAAGUCAUUCCCCACCUCGGCCCUCAGUUUCUGCUUCCAACGACCUAAGAGCCCCUGAACUCAGGAAAUCUGUGAAUAAAUAUUUGUUGAAUGCAUGAGUAAAAUGCACGAAUGAAUGGGAGUCUAACCAGAAGUGGAUUUUCCAGUCACUAUUUUGUUGUGUUUUUCUCUUUUUUUCCUUAGUUCCCAGAAGAACCACAAAGCAUAAAUUUCCCCAAAAGGGGAAUUUUGUUGAUGGCUUUAGUCUAUUCCCUCCUAAAAGACCAGCUACAACCAAAUGAAGUGAACAUAACCUCAAGGGUGUAUUGUCUUCAUAAUAAAAGAUGAAGCUUAGAACUGGAUCACUUGGCCCUUUCUCUUCUGACAUCCUCCCAGUUGA
rnacentral:lncRNA from 10 species